rnacentral:rRNA from 1 species
UUCCAGACUCCUACGGGAGGCAGCAGUGAGGAAUAUUGGUCAAUGGGCGCGAGCCUGAACCAGCCAAGUAGCGUGAAGGAUGACUGCCCUACGGGUUGUAAACUUCUUUUAUAAAGGAAUAAAGUGAGGCACGUGUGCCUUUUUGUAUGUACUUUAUGAAUAAGGAUCGGCUAACUCCGUGCCUGCAGCCGCGGUAAUACGGAGAAUCCGAGCGUUAUCCGGAUUUAUUGGGUUUAAAGGGAGCGUAGAUGGGUUGUUAAGUCAGUCGUGAAAGUUUGCGGCUCAACCGUAAAAUUGCAAUUGAUACUGGCAGUCUUGAGUACAGUUGAGGUAGGCGGAAUUCGUGGUGUAGCGGUGAAAUGCUUAGAUAUCACGAAGAACUCCGAUUGCGAAGGCGGCUUACUAAACUGCCACUGACAUUGAUGCUCGAAAGUGUGGGUACCAAACAGGAUUAGAUACCCCAGUAC